GAUGAAGAACGUAGCGAAAUGCGAUAAGUAAUGUGAAUUGCAGAAUUCAGUGAAUCAUCGAAUCUUUGAACGCACAUUGCGCCCCCUGGUAUUCCGGGGGGCAUGCCUGUUCGAGCGUCAUUUCACCACUCAAGCCUCGCUUGGUAUUGGGCAACGCGGUCCGCCGCGUGCCUCAAAUCGUCCGGCUGGGUCUUCUGUCCCCUAAGCGUUGUGGAAACUAUUCGCUAAAGGGUGUUCGGGAGGCUACGCCGUAAAACAACCCCAUUUCUAAGGUUGACCUCGGACCAGGUAGGGAUACCCGCUGAACUUAAGCAUAUCAAUAAGCGGAGGA
rnacentral:misc_RNA from 1 species